ACAACGGCCCUUUCCCUCACACACAUACAGUCUUGUUUCCAUGUGUACAGUAUGAUAUAUAGUGUCCCUGUCUUUCCUUACAACAUGGUGGACAGCACACAGUUAUUGCCUACACUACUAAACAUUUCAACGUCACUUAUUUUGUUCGGCAGGCUCAAACUCCAUCCUGGAGCUCCAGAAGAGGCCCUCUGGACUGGGGCCCAAGCAGCGGUGGACUCUCAACAACAACAACAACAACUCCGUCAAGUAACCCAAGAGAGGAGGAAGAGAAUGGACAAUUUACAACAAUAUGCACAGACAAGAAGAAGAAGAAGAAGAAGAAGAAGAAGAGUAAGAAGAUGAGGAGGAGGAAGAGAAUGGAAGAGAAGGACCAGCACACUAUUGAGACAAGAGAAGGAAGAGGAAGAAAAAGAAGAUGAUGAAGAGGAAGAGGAGGAUGACUUUGAAGACCAGCAGACAGGCAGACAGACAGACAGACAUUGACACUACCAAACGAAGAAGAGGAGGAGGAGGAGGAGGAGGAGGAGGAAGAAGAAGAAGAAGAAGAAGAAGAGGAACACAGGAGGAGCCCAUUGGUGAGUGUUAAUUUAUUUUUUCUAAAAUGGUUAACGAGCAGUCAAGGAAUUUUGAUAAUAAGGAGGGAAAGUGUGAUGCUUUUUUGUAGUUUUGUUAAGUUGUU